AUUAACUUUAUUUGAUGUAGGCAAAAGCCAUUAAAAUCUUAGAAGGUUUUUUCUAACUUUGCCUACCAAUGAGAUAUUUGACACUCUACUUUGAUGACACGUGUACUUAUCAUUAAUUAUAAUUUGACUAAAAUAA
rnacentral:sRNA from 1 species